UUCCUGAUGGUUUACUGGUUAAAUUCUGUAUUUCCAAUGCAGGGAGCACAGGUUCAAUCCCUGGUUGGGAAA
rnacentral:tRNA from 1 species